rnacentral:misc_RNA from 1 species
UUUUUAUUUUAUACUUUAAACCUUGAAUUUAUUUUUUAAAUGUUUAUAUUAUUUGAAUGUUUUAUUCAAAUAAUAUAAAAAAUAAUAUAUAUAUUGACAUGGAUUAAACAAAGAUAUAUAUUAUUCUAUGUUGUAUAAACAAAUUGGCAAAAUAGAGAUGGAAGAUAAAAAUAU